AGGCGUUUCAAAGAUGGCCGCCGAGUGAAAUUACUUGUCUUAAAGGGACUUUUAUAAAACUGAAAAGACUCAUAUGACUCUCAUCACGUUUGACAUGACAAGAGACCAGUUGAACCGUGAGUAAACAAGCGCUAGCCGGAGUUUUUAACCGUUGCACUCGCGUGUCACGUCCUCUGCGACAUCUCGCGCAUGACACUGCAUUUAAAUUUGGAAAAGAAAUACAAAACUGACGGGAGCUGCUCCGGUGGAAAACAGUGACUGGAUCUAACACCUUAAGAUGAUGCACAGCUCAUAUAUCUGUCGCUGUUUCUCUGCAAGGUUCCUGUUUCCCAAUGUCUAAGAGUUGCAGAGGACAAGCUCUGUCCUGUCAAAAUGAAUCCGCUCCAUCUCCUUCAGUCUGUGACAAUAAGAAUGUCUCCGUUAAGAUCCUGGAUCACUGACAAACAAAGCAUUGCACUGGCAUGACAGAAAAGUGAUGACAGACCACCUAUACCCCCUGCUGAUAUUUUAGAGGAGAUGGCUGCUGGACAAAGCUAGACAGAAGACAAGCCCUGAACAGGAUGGUCCCGCAUCUGAUUUGAAGACAGUGGAUAUGCACAACAUAGACAGAGUUUCACCGAGAUCAAUGUAGGAUGAUGGUAUGAUAUCAAUGUUUGCGGUAGGAGGAUGAGUUGGCAGAACAAUAUGGCUGGCCUAUCUUUUUCUCUCUUUUUUUUGGCAUUGUUGGUUGAAGCUGAGUGUACUGAGUUCAGAAAGGGACUGGUGCUGUCCAUUGAACUGUGACUACUCAAACAUAGAGAAAGCAAGAAAGAGAUUGCUUUCAGUUGAGGAUUGUUUCACUUUAAUUCCUGUUAUGUGGGUGGAUUUCCUUCACUGAACCAGAAGUAUAUACAAGACAUUUCUGGUACUGUGCUCCUCAGAUUUUAAUCAGAUUUAUCACACCUCUCUGUAUGUCUGAGUAAUGCGUGACGACAGAGUUCAUCCGAGGUUUCGGAAAGCUCACACCACAGUGACAUAUUCUCCAGUGAGUUCAUUGAGGUUUGCCAGCCACGUGAAACAGCAAAUGAUUUCCUUUUAGCUACACAGUCUACAAGUUAACAUUUUGAAAUGUUAUUGAUGAUUUUGAUGAUGUGAUUGGUGUAUUGCAAAAAUGACAAUACACACACAUAUACAAAU